ACCGCCUGCCUCCUGGGAACCCGAGCUUUCCAGCCCGGGAUCCUUACUUCCCGCCGGUUGGGACUCCCUCCCAGAACCGGGAAUCCGGUUGCCACUGGCCUAAAGAAUAUUGCCACAUCCUCAGGAAUUUAUGAAAGGUUGGACUGGAGCCCAUUAGGAGCUUAAAAGAAACAUCCCUCUGGUGGAGGUCUGAGGAAAUCAUCUUAACCCCUAAUGUCGCCCUGAGAUUGUGCCCAAAGUUCUACACUACCAGGACUGCUAAGGGACACUGGUCGUUAAGAAGAAGAGAAGAAGUGAUGUAUGGAGGGAGACAUAUCAGCACUCAAGUUUCUCCUUAAUCAGAAAGGCAGGAUGAGC
rnacentral:lncRNA from 1 species